GUCUACAGCCAUGCCCACCCUGAAUGCACCUGAUCUCUUCUGAGCUCGGAAGCUAAGCAGGGUUGGGCCGUUAGUACCUGGAGGGGAGGAAUGCUUGAAGAGGCAGGUGGGCUGCAAUAU
rfam:Mustela putorius furo unplaced genomic scaffold scaffold00021, whole genome shotgun sequence.